GCAAACCUGGAAACUAUCGUUGGAGCGAAAAAUGGACGUCCGAGAUUCGUUCACGUCAUCACGAGUAUAAAUUUUACUCACAGAUUUACUCAUGAAUACUCAUGAUGACGUGGACGAAUUUCGGACGUUCAUUUUUCAAUCCAACGGUAGUUACCACGUUUCC
rnacentral:pre_miRNA from 1 species